rnacentral:rRNA from 1 species
AGUGAACGCUGGCGGUAGGCCUAACACAUGCAAGUCGAACGGCAGCACAGUAAGAGCUUGCUCUUACGGGUGGCGAGUGGCGGACGGGUGAGGAAUACAUCGGAAUCUACUUUUUCGUGGGGGAUAACGUAGGGAAACUUACGCUAAUACCGCAUACGACCUACGGGUGAAAGCAGGGGAUCUUCGGACCUUGCGCGAUUGAAUGAGCCGAUGUCGGAUUAGCUAGUUGGCGGGGUAAAGGCCCACCAAGGCGACGAUCCGUAGCUGGUCUGAGAGGAUGAUCAGCCACACUGGAACUGAGACACGGUCCAGACUCCUACGGGAGGCAGCAGUGGGGAAUAUUGGACAAUGGGCGCAAGCCUGAUCCAGCCGUACCGCGUGGGUGAAGAAGGCCUUCGGGUUGUAAAGCCCUUUUGUUGGGAAAGAAAAGCAGCAGGUUAAUACCCCGCCGUUCUGACGGUACCCAAAGAAUAAGCACCGGCUAACUUCGUG